GACGAACGCUGGCGGCGUGCCUAACACAUGCAAGUCAACUUGAGGGAAGGAGCAAUCUGACCUGAUGGUGGCGCAAGGGUGCGUAACGCGUAAGUAACUUGCCCAAGGUAAGGAAUAACGUCGAGAAAUCGGCGCUAAUACCUCAUAAUGCAGCGGAUCCGCAUGGAUAUGUUGUUAAAGGUUUACCGCCUUGGGGUAGGCUUGCGUCUGAUUAGCUAGUUGGUGUGGUAUGGCACACCAGGCUACGAUCAGUAACUGGUCUGAGAGGAUGAUCAGUCACACUGGAACUGAGACACGGUCCAGACCUCCGUACGGGAGCAGC
rnacentral:rRNA from 1 species